rnacentral:rRNA from 1 species
GACGCCCGCUGGCGGCGCGCCUAACACAUGCAAGUCGAACGAGCGAGAGAGAGCUUGCUUUCUCGAGCGAGUGGCGAACGGGUGAGUAACGCGUGAGGAACCUGCCUCAAAGAGGGGGACAACAGUUGGAAACGACUGCUAAUACCGCAUAAGCCCACGGUGCCGCAUGGUACAGAGGGAAAAGGAGCAUUCCGCUUUGAGAUGGCCUCGCGUCCGAUUAGCUAGUUGGUGAGGUAACGGCCCACCAAGGCGACGAUCGGUAGCCGGACUGAGAGGUUGAACGGCCACAUUGGGACUGAGACACGGCCCAGACUCCUACGGGAGGCAGCAGUGGGGAAUAUUGCACAAUGGGGGAAACCCUGAUGCAGCGACGCCGCGUGGAGGAAGAAGGUCUUCGGAUUGUAAACUCCUGUUGUUGGGGAAGAUAAUGACGGUACCCAACAAGGAAGUGACGGCUAACUACGUGCCAGCAGCCGCGGUAAAACGUAGGUCACAAGCGUUGUCCGGAAUUACUGGGUGUAAAGGGAGCGCAGGCGGGAAGACAAGUUGGAAGUGAAAUCUAUGGGCUCAACCCAUAAACUGCUUUCAAAACUGUUUUUCUUGAGUAGUGCAGAGGUAGGCGGAAUUCCCGGUGUAGCGGUGGAAUGCGUAGAUAUCGGGAGGAACACCAGUGGCGAAGGCGGCCUACUGGGCACCAACUGACGCUGAGGCUCGAAAGUGUGGGUAGCAAACAGGAUUAGAUACCCUGGUAGUCCACACCGUAAACGAUGAUUACUAGGUGUUGGAGGAUUGACCCCUUCAGUGCCGCAGUUAACACAAUAAGUAAUCCACCUGGGGAGUACGACCGCAAGGUUGAAACUCAAAGAAUUGACGGGGGCCCGCACAAGCAGUGGAGUAUGUGGUUUAAUUCGACGCAACGCGAAGAACCUUACCAAGUCUUGACAUCCCUUGACAGGCAUAGAAAUAUGUUUUCUCUUCGGAGCAAGGAGACAGGUGGUGCAUGGUUGUCGUCAGCUCGUGUCGUGAGAUGUUGGGUUAAGUCCCGCAACGAGCGCAACCCUUAUGGUCAGUUACUACGCAAGAGGACUCUGGCCAGACUGCCGUUGACAAAACGGAGGAAGGUGGGGAUGACGUCAAAUCAUCAUGCCCUUUAUGACUUGGGCUACACACGUACUACAAUGGCGUUAAACAAAGAGAAGCAAGACCGCGAGGUGGAGCAAAACUCAGAAACAACGUCCCAGUUCGGACUGCAGGCUGCAACUCGCCUGCACGAAGUCGGAAUUGCUAGUAAUCGUGGAUCAGCAUGCCACGGUGAAUACGUUCCCGGGCCUUGUACU